rnacentral:rRNA from 1 species
GACGAACGCUGGCGGCGUGCUUAACACAUGCAAGUCGAACGGAAAGGCCCUGCUUGCAGGGUACUCGAGUGGCGAACGGGUGAGUAACACGUGGGUGAUCUGCCCUGCACUUCGGGAUAAGCCUGGGAAACUGGGUCUAAUACCGGAUAGGAGCCAUUUUUAGUGUGAUGGUUGGAAAGUUUUUUCGGUGUAGGAUGAGCUCGCGGCCUAUCAGCUUGUUGGUGGGGUAAUGGCCUACCAAGGCGGCGACCGGUAGCCGGCCUGAGAGGGUGGACGGCCACAUUGGGACUGAGAUACGGCCCAGACUCCUACGGGAGGCAGCAGUGGGGAAUAUUGCACAAUGGGCGCAAGCCUGAUGCAGCGACGCCGCGUGGGGGAUGACGGCCUUCGGGUUGUAAACUCAUUUCGCUAGGGACGAAGCUUUUUGUGACGGUACCUAGAUAAGAAGCACCGGCUAACUACGUG